UAGGAAUUAGAAUUUGGGUCCUUGUGCUU
rnacentral:piRNA from 1 species